rnacentral:rRNA from 1 species
AUGAACGCUGGCGGCGUGCCUAAUACAUGCAAGUCGAGCGAACAGACGAGGAGCUUGCUCCUUCGACGUUAGCGGCGGACGGGUGAGUAACACGUAGGUAACCUACCUAUAAGACUGGGAUAACUUCGGGAAACCGGAGCUAAUACCGGAUAAUAUUUCGAACCGCAUGGUUCGAUAGUGAAAGAUGGCUUUGCUAUCACUUAUAGAUGGACCUGCGCCGUAUUAGCUAGUUGGUAAGGUAACGGCUUACCAAGGCAACGAUACGUAGCCGACCUGAGAGGGUGAUCGGCCACACUGGAACUGAGACACGGUCCAGACUCCUACGGGAAGCAGCAGUAGGGAAUCUUCCGCAAUGGGCGAAAGCCUGACGGAGCAACGCCGCGUGAGUGAUGAAGGUCUUCGGAUCGUAAAACUCUGUUAUUAGGGAAGAACAAACGUGUAAGUAACUGUGCACGUCUUGACGGUACCUAAUCAGAAAGCCACGGCUAACUACGUG